ensembl:lncRNA
CCACAGGCCACAUGAGGAAGCAGCAGGUCCGUCUGGAGCAAGGAGAGGGAGGGAAAAUGCCAGGUAUCUGUUCAGGUCGCGUAUCUGUCCCAAGUCAAAAGGGAGCUUGGCUAACUGCAGUCCCUCUGUCCAGGUUAAUGCAGCCUGCAUUUCAAUACCUGCUCCUAUGAUGGCAAAGGCAACAAAGAAAACAUUGCGGGGUCUUGUCUCAGUGCAAAUGCUCCAGGUCGACACACGUCAUUUCUGGCCAGAAAUCGGAUCUUGACCCCGACCAGCCACAAAGGGUCAAGAAGGACAAUGCUCUCACAUAAUCACCCAAGGGGCAGAAAAGGAAUAUGUGGGUGACAGAACUGAUGGCUGACUGCCACGCUUCCUCCCUGCAUUCUGAAUUGUGAGCAGCAGGAUAAAAAGAAUAUUUCUUUUUGAAAUCUAUUUAUCCCAUAGAGCUUUCUGGCCCACUGUCCAGAGCAAUCCCCGUACUACCCCUCCCUCUUAACAUGUGUCUUCCAAAUGGGUUUCCCUUACACCUAAGUAAGCCUGAGUCAGCCCCCUUUUCUCACAACCGUGUAGCCGCAAGAAAGUACAGUAUGGCCCCAGCCAGCCAACUGUCAUCAGGGCUUGGUGUGGUCCCUCUUUCCCUUCCUCCGAGGCUGAAGCCACAGUCCUGCGAGAGCAGCAGCUAGGGCACUCACUGAGCAGGGGGACACCAGCAAUGGCAGAGUUUGCCUGCAGGACACCGUUAGAAUCCGUUCAAGCAACCAUGAUCUGCCUCGCCAAGUGCUGAGUAAAUACCUUUCCAAUGCAGAAAGGUCCCUGCGCAGAACUUACUAUAGAAAUUGAAGACUAUUGGAGCCAAAGGGGACCUCAGAAGGGAGCUUACCUGAUCCCAGCCUGGUGUGCGAAGAAGGAAG